AUGAUUGUCCUUAUACCAAAAGGAAAUGAUCCCCAAACAGUAAAGGACUACAGACCCAUUAGCCUCUGUAACGUUAUAUAUAAGGUGGUGUCGAAAUGCCUGGUCAAUCGGCUUCGACCCCUGCUGGACGGAAUUAUAUCAGAGAGUCAAAGUGCCUUUAUCCCAGGCAGGAUGAUUACGGACAACGCCAUUAUC
rnacentral:rRNA from 1 species